CGGCUGGGGCCUGCACCGGCCGCCUCCCCGGCAGCUGCGGCUGUGGAGGUGGCCGCCGGUCAACACUCCAACGGCGUGGGCGACAGCAGGCGGGGACGGCUAUCGUCACCGUAGUCGCCUUUGGCCCGGCACCUCCCGGGGCGGCGCCUGGGCCAAAGCCGGCCUCGCGAGCCAGGCCUGGCCCCGUCACGGCGUGUCCGCGGUCUCCGUCACCAGUCGGCGUGGUCGUCACGGAGGUCGUCGACUCCCGGAAGCUCACGUCUGGAUUCGGGGACGUCAUGGGACCGCAGGUGCACACCCGCGCCCUAUCGGCCCCGUCUGGCGUUGGAGACGGAUUCAGCCGCACCACCGAUACCCGCUGGGGACGGCUACGUGCUGGCCCGACGUGACACCUACGGAAGCCGAGCCCACGGCGGCGCCGACCACCGAUCCCAGGAAAACUCGACCCGCGCCCUCUGAGCCGGUGCCGACCACCACCGCCAGCGUUCCGCCGGGGACCACAACCACCGCCACCGCUGCCACGACUACC